rnacentral:rRNA from 1 species
AGCGAACGCUGGCGGCAGGCUUAAUACAUGCAAGUCGAGCGCCUGUAGCAAUACAGGAGCGGCAGACGGGAGAGUAACACGUGGGAACGUGCCCUUUGGUUCGGAACAACACAGGGAAACUUGUGCUAAUACCGGAUAAGCCCUUACGGGGAAAGAUUUAUCGCCAAAGGAUCGGCCCGCGUCUGAUUAGCUAGUUGGUGGGGUAAUGGCCCACCAAGGCGACGAUCAGUAGCUGGUCUGAGAGGAUGAUCAGCCUCAUUGGGACUGAGACACGGCCCAAACUCCUACGGGAGGCAGCAGUAGGGAAUAUUGGACAAUGGGCGCAAGCCUGAUCCAGCCAUGCCGCGUGAGUGAUGAAGGCCUUAGGGUUGUAAAGCUCUUUCGGCGGGGAAGAUAAU